rnacentral:rRNA from 1 species
UUCAUGGAGAGUUUGAUCCUGGCUCAGGACGAACGCUGGCGGCGUGCCUAAUACAUGCAAGUCGAGCGGACCGACGGGAGCUUGCUCCCUUAGGUUAGCGGCGGACGGGUGAGUAACACGUGGGUAACCUGCCUGUAAGACUGGGAUAACUCCGGGAAACCGGGGCUAAUACCGGAUGCUUGAUUGAACCGCAUGGUUCAAUUAUAAAAGGUGGCUUUCAGCUACCACUUACAGAUGGAUCCGCGGCGCAUUAGCUAGUUGGUGAGGUAACGGCUCACCAAGGCAACGAUGCGUAGCCGACCUGAGAGGGUGAUCGGCCACACUGGGACUGAGACACGGCCCAGACUCCUACGGGAGGCAGC